rnacentral:rRNA from 1 species
CGAAUGGGAUACCUAAAUUUCCCAUGGCUCACUGCUCAGUAACACAUGAUCAACUUAACCUAUUGAGAAAGAUAACCUCGGGAAACUGAGGAUAAUAUUUCAUAGUUGAAUUGGCUUGGAAAAGUUUUUCAAUAAAAGGGAUAGGGAAAAUGGUCUCUAUCCGCUAUAGGAUAGGAUCGUGUUCGAUUAUGGUAGUUGGUGAGGUAACGGCUCACCAAGCCGAUAAUCGAUAGGGGCCGUGAGAGCGGGAGCCCCGAGAUGGGUACUGAGACAACGACCCAGGCCUUACGAGGCGCAGCAGGUACGAAACCUCCACAAUACACGAAAGUGUGAUGGGGUUACCCAAAGUGUUCAUUAUUGAACUGUGGUAGGAGAGUAAUGUCCCCUACUAGAAAGGAGAGGGCAAGGCUGGUGCCAGCCGCCGCGGUAAAACCAGCUCUUCGAGUGGUCGGGAUGAUUAUUGGGCUUAAAGUGUCCGUAGCCGGUUUAGUAAGUUCCUGGUAAAAUCGGGUAGCUUAACUAUCUGUAUGCUAGGAAUACUGCUAUACUAGAGGGCGGGAGAGGUCUGAGGUACUACAGGGGUAGGGGUGAAAUCUUAUAAUCCUUGUAGGACCACCAGUGGCGAAGGCGUCAGACUGGAACGCGCCUGACGGUGAGGGACGAAAGCCAGGGGAGCGAACCGGAUUAAUACCCGGGUAGUCCUGGCCGUAAACGAUGCAUACUAGG